GCCGGGGCCGUGGCUCGGGAAGGCCGGCUGCAGCGGGCACAGAAGGGCGCCCCGGAGCCGCCAGCGACACGGGAACCGGUCUGAGGAGGCGCUGGGCCGGAGGCGGGGCCGCACCGUCCGCGCAGUCCGGGAAGGCCCGGCCCGGAGGAGAGCCGGCGGCUGGGGGGGCCCGGGGCCCGGAGAAGGGUCCCCAGAGGCUGCGGGAAGCCGUCUCCUCCUCCGGAGAGGAGAUGCCAGACCGCCUCGCGCUCCUCGGAGAACGGCCAGACCCGUGGCUUUUCCUGCGCGUGUUUCCCACGCCGAGCACAGCCGGUGCGCACACGCCCGCCCGCCUGAGCGGGUGCCGUCUGCCUGUCGUGGGUGGUGGCCGCCAUCGGGCCGCUCCAGGAGCUCAGACACAGCCCUCCGAGCCCUGCGCAGCGGGGGGAGCCCAGUGAGCUGCCGGGACACCACGUGCGGAGCCUUAGGGCUCAGGUUCCGUCCACAGCAUCGCGGGGACAAAAUCGUGCUGGAGACCGCUGAGUUUUGGUGCAGUUUGACACACCGCGGGAGCUGACACGUGUUUACUAGGAAGAGCCAAGACAGUCCAAUGAGUCAAACCCCUGAGACGCCAGGGCCUCAGAGCAAAGGGUGGAAGGUGAGCAAGUGCGGCGGCGCAGAGGGAAGCGGCAUCACUGCGGAGGGGAAGGUCAAGCCAGUCCCUUGUAGAGGGCGCCCGGCCGCUUCCGGGGGCUCUGCACAGGCCUGACGGGCACAAGGUCAGAGGUGUCUGCUGAAGUGCACGGGCACCAGGCAGGCGGCUCUCCUGCUGGCUCAGCUCCAUUUCACCGGCUCCGGGCCCGGGCCAGGCGGCAGGCCAGCAGGCCCACCUGCGCUGCAUGCACAGCCCCGUGGCAGCCUGGCCACGGUCAGAGAGACCAGGGCAAAGGCUCUGCGUGAGGGGGGUGGGGUGGGGGAGGCUCCUGAUCUAGUGCUUUAGCCGCCGGGGCGGGUCCCAUUAUUGGUCCAUGGAGCAGGUUUCACUGACUGUGACAGGAAGCGAGCGGGGAACAGGGACAGACACCCUGAGCCGGGCCCUGGUGGACCGGGCCCCUACCUAACAGAAGGUUCAAUAGACAGUGCUCUCCUCCCCGAGGGAGCUUCGCUGGGGCUCCAGUGAGGAGGAAAAGGCUCUCCCGGGUGAAAAGUCCCCGGCCUCUGCUAUGGACUAAAUAUGGAUGUUCCCUCCCCGACUCAUGGUGAAACCUGACCCCCAAGGGGAUGGUAUUGGGAGGUGGGGCCUUGGGGAGGUGAUGAGGCCCGGAGGGUGCCCCUGUGAGAGGACCCUGCCCUCCAAACCGCUGAGGACGGCGACAGAUGCGGCUACGAACCAGAAAGUGGCCCUCGGGUCCCUGGAUGUGCCGGCCCCCUAAUCCCAGACUCCCAGCCCCCAGACUUCGAGGAACUCACUUCUCUUGUUGAUGUGCCACCAGGCCACGGCAUUUCUCUUUCUAACAGCCCAGAUGGACUAAGACAGCUUGUGAUUUGAGAAGGUUUGGGAUUAAAAUUUGGUUUUCAAAACAUCCAAGAAAUUAGCAUAAAUUCCGGUCAUUCUGGUGACGGUUCUGCAGCAUUUUGAAGAAGCGAACAUAAACCCUCGCCAGAGCUCCUGACCCACAGACUCAGCGCGGGGUGGGUGGGUGGAGGGAGUGUGGGGGGAGGCUGGCAACGUGCGAGAGGUCCUCGGGCUUCAGAUGAGGACGAAGGCCGCCGCCCACCUCUGAAAUCUCCUCAGAGCAACAAGUGAACCAGACCCAGAAACGCAGACAGCCUUCCCGUCCAGGUCGUUGGGCUGGCCCUUCCAAGGCAUGAGGGGUGAGGAAAAAGGUUCCCCACCCCCGACAGACUAAGGAGCAGCUUAAAGUCUGAACUGCAGAGUGAGGUAGGGAGGUGGCGGAGGACACGGGAUUCACUACAAAGAAGAAGUGGAGAUAAGCGUGCAGUGACCACGGAGCUGGCAGAGCAAGUAAAUGGCUGGAAGACAAAGAGCACGCUCUGAGAUUUAGAAUAAAAAACUCUUUUUUUCAAAAAAAAAUUUAAUAAAUCUUUAUUGUUCUGAUCA